rnacentral:miRNA from 1 species
CCGCCCAAUGCCCCAUCAUCAUGUGAAGCCCUCUUCAUGUGUACAAUGCAAAGGUGCUUCACAUGAUGAUGGGGCAUUGGGUGG